rnacentral:tRNA from 1 species
CAAACCGGAUUGCCCUGAUACCAAAAAGCUAGCCCCACCCCCAAAGAGCAACCACCCACUAUUAAUACCCACAAAU